rfam:Bombyx mori DNA, contig: Bm_scaf1349_contig45758, strain: p50T/Dazao, build 2, whole genome shotgun sequence.
UUAACUCGAAUUUGUAUGAAGUUGGAGUUUGCCGCUAGGGGCGCUGUUCCAACUGCAUACAAAUUCGAGUUA